rnacentral:sRNA from 1 species
UGCUUGUUUGCUUGACACGCGUGUGCGC